UACGUAGGGUGCGAGCGUUUAAUCGGAAUUACUGGGCGUAAAGCGUGCGCAGGCGGUUAUUUAAGUCAGGUGUGAAAGCCCUGGGCUUAACCUAGGAAUUGCGCUUGAGACUGGAUAGCUUGGAGUGCGGCAGAGGGAGGUGGAAUUCCACGUGUAGCAGUGAAAUGCGUAGAGAUGUGGAGGAACACCGAUGGCGAAGGCAGCCUCCUGGGCCAGCACUGACGCUCAUGCACGAAAGCGUGGGGAGCAAACAGG
rnacentral:rRNA from 1 species